UACGAAGGGGGCGAGCGUUGUUCGGAAUUACUGGGCGGAAAGGGCGCGUAGGCGGCGAACCAAGUCAGAUGUGAAAGUCCUGGGCUUAACCUGGGGACUGCAUUUGAUACUGGUUUGCUUGAAUUCGGGAGAGGAUAGCGGAAUUCCCAGUGUAGAGGUGAAAUUCGUAGAUAUUGGGAAGAACACCGGUGGCGAAGGCAAUCCCCUGGGCCUGCACUGACGCUCAUGCACGAAAGCGUGGGGAGCAAACAGG
rnacentral:rRNA from 1 species